CCUACGGGAGGCAGCAGUGGGGAAUAUUGGACAAUGGGCGCAAGCCUGAUCCAGCCAUACCGCGUGGGUGAAGAAGGCCUUCGGGUUGUAAAGCCCUUUUGUUGGGAAAGAAAUCCAGCUGGUUAAUACCCGGUUGGGAUGACGGUACCCAAAGAAUAAGCACCGGCUAACUUCGUGCCAGCAGCCGCGGUAAU
rnacentral:rRNA from 3 species